rnacentral:rRNA from 1 species
GACGAACGCUGGCGGCGUGCUUAACACAUGCAAGUCGAACGGAAAGGCCCUGCUUUUGUGGGGUGCUCGAGUGGCGAACGGGUGAGUAACACGUGAGUAACCUGCCCUUGACUUUGGGAUAACUUCAGGAAACUGGGGCUAAUACCGGAUAGGAGCUCCUGCUGCAUGGUGGGGGUUGGAAAGUUUCGGCGGUUGGGGAUGGACUCGCGGCUUAUCAGCUUGUUGGUGGGGUAGUGGCUUACCAAGGCUUUGACGGGUAGCCGGCCUGAGAGGGUGACCGGCCACAUUGGGACUGAGAUACGGCCCAGACUCCUACGGGAGGCAGCAGUGGGGAAUAUUGCACAAUGGGCGGAAGCCUGAUGCGGCAACGCCGCGUGCGGGAUGACGGCCUUCGGGUUGUAAACCGCUUUCGCCUGUGACGAAGCGUGAGUGACGGUAAUGGGUAAAGAAGCACCGGCUAACUACGUGCCAGCAGCCGCGGUGAUACGUAGGGUGCGAGCGUUGUCCGGAUUUAUUGGGCGUAGAGGGCUCGUAGGUGGUUGAUCGCGUCGGAAGUGUAAUCUUGGGGCUUAACCCUGAGCGUGCUUUCGAUACGGGUUGACUUGAGGAAGGUAGGGGAGAAUGGAAUUCCUGGUGGAGCGGUGGAAUGCGCAGAUAUCAGGAGGAACACCAGUGGCGAAGGCGGUUCUCUGGGCCUUUCCUGACGCUGAGGAGCGAAAGCGUGGGGAGCGAACAGGCUUAGAUACCCUGGUAGUCCACGCUGUAAACGGUGGGUACUAGGUGUGGGGUCCAUUCCACGGGUUCCGUGCCGUAGCUAACGCUUUAAGUACCCCGCCUGGGGAGUACGGCCGCAAGGCUAAAGCUCAAAGGAACUGACGGGGCCCCGCACAAGCGGCGGAGCAUGCGGAUUAAUUCGAUGCAACGCGUAGAACCUUACCUGGGUUUGACAUGGAUCGGGAGUGCUCAGAGAUGGGUGUGCCUCUUUUGGGGUCGGUUCACAGGUGGUGCAUGGCUGUCGUCAGCUCGUGUCGUGAGGUGUUGGGUUAAGUCCCGCAACGAGCGCAACCCUUGUUCACUGUUGCCAGCACGUUAUGGUGGGGACUCAGUGGAGACCGCCGGGGUCUACUCGGAGGAAGGUGGGGAUGACGCCAAGUCAUCAUGCCCCUUAUGUCCAGGGCUUCACGCAUGCUACAAUGGCUGGUACAGAGAGUGGCGAGCCUGUGAGGGUGAGCGAAUCUCGGAAAGCCGGUCUCAGUUCGGAUUGGGGUCUGCAACUCGACCUCAUGAAGUCGGAGUCGCUAGUAAUCGCAGAUCAGCAACGCUGCGGUGAAUACGUUCCCGGGGCU